UCCGGUUUAACACCGGCAGUCCCUCCAGAGUCCCCGGCAUAACCCGCUGGCAACUGGAGGCAAGGGUUUCGCUCGUUACGGGACUUAACCCAACAUCUCACGACACGAGCUGACGACAGCCAUGCAGCACCUGUAGUAGGUUCCGGACUGGAUACCGUUGGGGAGACGUUUCCGCCCCCUACUCCCUACCGCUUUCGCACAUGUCAAGCCUGGGAUAAGGUUCUUCGCGUAGCCUCGAAUUAAGCCACAUGCUCCACCGCUUGUGUGAGCCCCCGUCAAUUCCUUUGAGUUUCAGCCUUGCGGCCAUACUCCCCAGGCGGGGUACUUAGCACUUUGGCUCCGGCUGGGAGCCCAUGUCAGGCCCACAACCUAGUACCCAUCGUUUAGGGCCAGGACUAC
rnacentral:misc_RNA from 1 species